GUGGGGAAUUUUGGACAAUGGGCGCAAGCCUGAUCCAGCAAUGCCGCGUGCAGGAAGAAGGCCUUCGGGUUGUAAACUGCUUUUGUACGGAACGAAACGGUCCGGGUUAAUACCCUGGGCUAAUGACGGUACCGUAAGAAUAAGCACCGGCUAACUACGUGCCAGCAGCCGCGGUAAUACGUAGGGUGCAAGCGUUAAUCGGAAUUACUGGGCGUAAAGCGUGCGCAGGCGGUUUUGUAAGACAGGCGUGAAAUCCCCGGGCUCAACCUGGGAAUUGCGCUUGUGACUGCAAGGCUGGAGUGCGGCAGAGGGGGAUGGAAUUCCGCGUGUAGCAGUGAAAUGCGUAGAUAUGCGGAGGAACACCGAUGGUGAAGGCAAUCCCCUGGGCCUGCACUGACGCUCAUGCACGAAAGCGUGGGGAGCAAACAGGAUUAGAAACCCUGGUAGUCC
rnacentral:rRNA from 1 species